rnacentral:lncRNA from 1 species
UGUUACUCAUAACCUGAGCAUUAAAAAUAAUAGUUAUAUUUUUUUUUUUUUUUUUAAAUAAAAAUGAAUUACAAUUCCAACCCCGAUUACGAGUUUGAGUAUUACCAGAAUCUGAUGCAAAAGGAACUAAAAGAAUAUGAAACAAAUUCCGAAGUUUCAUGUAAAAUUGGUUAUAGUGACUCAGAAUCGGAAGGUGUUGCUUCGAUAAAAGAAGAACCCUAUUAUGCAUAUAAUAAGAAAUUACAAAAUUAUAAAACAGAAAAAGUAAACAAACCAGUAUGGAAAAGUGUUUACGAGUUUGAAGAUACAGUUAAAGAUUCAUAUUCUGAUCAUGAAUAUGUAAAAAAUGAUGAAUCAGAUGAUAGUGUUGAAUCACCUAGGUUUGGAAUUACAUCCAAUAAUGUGAGUGAUAAAAGUGAUGAUGAAAGUGGUGAUGAAAGUGGUGAUGAAAAUAAAGAACAUAAACAACACAUACAAAGAAACCGAAGUAAAGAAAGUGAUAACAACAAAAACAACCCAUGGUUUGAUGAAUAUUUGUAUAAAAAAAAUAUGGAUAGAGAGGAAACACCUGUCCGUCCUUUAAAAAAAGUUGAAAUAGAAGUAACUAAAAACAAAACAAAUAAUAUAUUUCCAGAAUUUCAUAAAGAGGACUUGAUGUACAUAUCUGAUAAUAUGAAUUACAGUUUUAGAAAAGAAUUAGAAAAUAACAUGUAUAAUAAUUUAAAUGCAUUUAAAAAUAUAAAAAAUAGUUAUGAUGAUGUAAGUAAACAUUUUAUGAAACCUAAGACACAAAAAGACAUGAACAAUGUAUAUUAUGACAUAAAUGAUGAAACACUGGAUAUUAAAAUGUUAAAAAAAGAACAUGAGAAACUGGUAAACGUAAACAAAUUAAAUAACAUACAAAUGGAUGCUUAUGAUAAAUUUACAUAUGGUAAUUAUAACGAUGAUACACAAGUUGAAAAAAAACAAAUGAAUUUUACUAGAUUGAAAAAAAUGAUAGCAAACAAAAAUACAAAAAAGCAAUUUGGACAUACUGAUGAUUAUACACUAGAUAACGAUAAUAGGGACAACAUAGACUCUGGUAAUGACUACUCCGGAAAUAGUGAUAUAAACAGCAAUGCUUCAGAUAUAUAUUACAAAAUUAAUUCUGAUAAAAACGCUGGGUUAAGAAAUGAAAAAUUAAAGGUACAAACAAGCUCCAAUAGGAAUAAUAUUCCUAAAAAAAAAAAAGCACAAUA